UGCACCUCUGGCGUCCAGCGGCGGACGGGUGAGUAAUGCUUGGGAAUAUGCCUUAUGGUGGGGGACAACAGUUGGAAACGACUGCUAAUACCGCAUGAUGUCUACGGACCAAAGUGGGGGACCUUCGGGCCUCACGCCAUAAGAUUAGCCCAAGUGGGAUUAGCUAGUUGGUGAGGUAAUGGCUCACCAAGGCGACGAUCCCUAGCUGGUUUGAGAGGAUGAUCAGCCACACUGGGACUGAGACACGGCCCAGACUCCUACGGGAGGCAGCAGUGGGGAAUAUUGCACAAUGGGCGCAAGCCUGAUGCAGCCAUGCCGCGUGUGUGAAGAAGGCCUUCGGGUUGUAAAGCACUUUCAGUAAGGAGGAAAGGUUAAGUGUUAAUAGCACUUA
rnacentral:rRNA from 1 species